GUCUGAGCAAGGUGUAGGUACUAGUGCUAGUCCAUUCCUACAAGGCAUGGGACUUUUCUAGUGGGUGACUUUAGCUCCAGGCAUCUCCCUGGACCUUGUCAAAACCCUGCUGUCUGAGACUCUUCCUCCCCAAUCCUCCUUCGCCCUCACCUUUCACAGGUAUCAGAUCAGCAACUCAGUCUGAAGUUGAGUUCAUUCUGAAGCCUUCCCUGCCUAUUCCUACUUCCUCCUCUUAAUCCUUCAUGUGCAUCUCUCUCCUAAAAUCCUCUUGCACCUUGAAUUCCAUCUUGGCAUCUGCUUCUUGGAGGAUCUGAACCCACACUCUCUGAAGAAAAGGAUCCCAGUCCAAGGAGCAGAAAGUCAAGCAAACCAUGAAAGUCUCACUGAGAUGAAGAGUCAGAGGAGGAUGAGGCAGCUGGAAUUUUCUGAGAGAAGUACCAAAGAGACGGAUCUACAUAGGGAAAGAGCUCCAGAAAUCUGCAUAAAGUUUCCUUUCAGUCUUACACAGAAUACUAGACUGGCAGUGGAAAGGCUGACUCUAAGAAGCCAAGCAAAAAACAACUAUUGAGAAACUGUUAGCUGAACAGUUAUCAGAGUUCAUACAAGAUUGGCAAAGUCUAAGUUCAGACCAGAGUGGCAAGAUGUCAUUGUAUAUCUGACAUUCAAAGGACACCUAAAAAGGUAAUGUUUCAGUAAAUGGGCUAAACCAGGCCUAGAAUAAAGACUACUUUAGAUCUGCCCUAAUAAAGCUUGAAAACAACUAACUCUCAAGAUGAUCAAGGUGAUACACAAGUAACACAAUACAACAAAAUCUGUAAUGGAAGAAAACAAAAUCUAGAGACUCAAUAACAUAAUACUGAUAAUGUCUGGCAUCCACUAAAAAAUUACCAGACAGGGAAAGAAAUAUGAUCCAUAAUCAAAAGAAAACUAAGUCAAUAGAAAUAUACCCAGAAAUGAAAGAGAUGAUGGAACGAGCAAACAAGGUUUUAAAACAUCAUAUAUGUAUAAGAAUAUUUAAAUGAGAAGGUAUACACAAAAUAUAAAAAGAAACUAUACAGAAUUGCCAGAAGUUAAGGAUACCUGUAAUAAAAAUUCACCAUAUAGUCUUAAUAGUACUUUAGACACUGCAGAAAAAAAAAAAAAAAUCACUGAACUUGAAGAUGCAAUAGAAAGUAUCCAAACAAAAGAACAGACAGAAAGAAGGUUAAAAAACAAAAACAAUACAAAAAAACAAGGAAGAAGAAUACAGCCUCACUGACCUACGGGACAAUGCCAAGAGGUGUAAUAUACACGAAAUUGAGUCCCAGAAAAAGUGGGAGGGGGAGUGAAGUGGGGCUGGCAAAAGACAAAAUAUUCCAAGAAAGAAUGGCUGAAAAGUUUUCAAAUUUGAUGAAAAUUAAACAUCUCAGGUCCAAGCAGCUCAAUAAACCCUAGGCAGAAAAAAAUACAAAGAAAACCAAAACAAGGCACAUCAUAAUCAAAUUGCUGAAAAGCAGUGACAAAGAGAAAAGUCCUUAUCAACUAUAAAAGAAGACAUAUUACAUAAAAGGAAACAGAUACUGUAAAUAUUUCCACUGAUUUAUUGUCAGAAAUAAUGCAAGCCAGAAGAUAAUAAAAUGAACAUCUUUACAGUGCUAAAGGAAAAACGAAAAAGAACAAAAAAAUUCUGAACCUAGAAUUCCAUAUCUACCGAAAAAUAUUUCAAACAUGAAGGCAAAAUACUUUUUGUCACGCAAUCAAAAGCUAAAAUAAAUUAAUGCCAGAGAUUUGUAAUACAAGAAAUGUUAAAGGAAGUACUUCAGGUAGAAGGAAAACAAUACCUAUUGGAAACUCAGAUCUACACAAAGAAGGGUAUGGAAAUGAUAAAUAUAUGGACAAAUAUAAAAGACUUUUUCCCAUUUUUAAUUUCUUUAAAAUAUAAUAUUUGGAGCAAAAAUAAAACAAUAAAUUGUAGGGUUUAUAAUACUUAUAGAAAUAAAAUGUAUGACAACAAUAGAAUAAAGGAUAGGGAGGAAGUAAAUGGAAAUAUAGCAUCAUAAGGUUCUUAUAUCAGAUGCAAAGUGGUAUAAUGUUAUUAAAAAGUAAACUGUGAUGGGUUAAAGAUACAUAUUGUAAACCCUGGAGCAACUACUACAGUAAAUAAAGAAGCCAUUAGAAAAGGUAAAAUGGAAUACUGACAAAUACUCAACUCAUCCAAAAGAGGGCCAAAAUAGAGGGAAAAUGAAGAUUAGAUAGAACAACAAAUAGAAAGCAAGUAACAAUAUAAACCUAUAGUGCCAAGUAUCAAAAUAGAGAGUCCAGAAAUAGAUGCAUCUAUUUGAUCACUUGGUCAAUUGAUUUCUGACAAAAGCAUUGGAGUAAUUCAAUUUAUAAAGAAUAGCCUUUUUAAAAAAUGGUUCUGGGAAAAUUACAUAGCCAUAUGGAAAAAUAAGAACCUCAACAUUUAUCUCACUAUACACAAAAAUCCAUCAUAGAACUAAACAUGACUAAAACUAUAAAAUUGCCAAAAGAAAUAAUGGGAGAAAUAUUAGUAAAAUUUAGAUAAUCCAGUUGUUCUUAGGACACAAAAAGCACUAUGGUUAAAAAACUGAUAAACUGG
rnacentral:lncRNA from 1 species